CCUACGGGAGGCAGCAGUGGGGAAUUUUGGACAAUGGGCGCAAGCCUGAUCCAGCAAUGCCGCGUGCAGGAUGAAGGCCUUCGGGUUGUAAACUGCUUUUGUACGGAACGAAACGGCGAGCUCUAAUAAAGUUCGCUAAUGACGGUACCGUAAGAAUAAGCACCGGCUAACUACGUGCCAGCAGCCGCGGUAAUACGUAGGGUGCAAGCGUUAAUCGGAAUUACUGGGCGUAAAGCGUGCGCAGGCGGUGAUGUAAGACAGAUGUGAAAUCCCCGGGCUCAACCUGGGACCUGCAUUUGUGACUGCAUCGCUAGAGUACGGUAGAGGGGGAUGGAAUUCCGCGUGUAGCAGUGAAAUGCGUAGAUAUGCGGAGGAACACCGAUGGCGAAGGCAAUCCCCCUGGACCUGUACUGACGCUCAUGCACGAAGCGUGGGGAGCAAACAGGAUUAGAUACCCUGGUAGUCCACGCCCUAAACGAUGUCAACUGGUUGUUGGGUCUUCACUGACUCAGUAACGAAGCUAACGCGUGAAGUUGACCGCCUGGGGAGUACGGCCGCAAGGUUGAAACUCAAAUGAAUUGACGGNUGAGACGNGCGACGGACGACGACGAGGGGAGGAGG
rnacentral:rRNA from 1 species